GGAUAGAGGUCUACCAUGGUUUCAACGGGUAACGGGGAAUAAGGGUUCGAUUCCGGAGAGGGAGCCUGAGAAACGGCUACCACAUCCAAGGAAGGCAGCAGGCGCGCAAAUUACCCAAUCCCGACACGGGGAGGUAGUGACAAUAAAUAACAAUAUAGGGCCCUUUUGGGUCUUAUAAUUGGAAUGAGUACAAUUUAAAUCCCUUAACGAGGAACAAUUGGAGGGCAAGUCUGGUGCCAGCAGCCGCGGUAAUUCCAGCUCCAAUAGCGUAUAUUAAAGUUGUUGCAGAUAAAAAGCUCGUAGUUGAAUUUCGGGAUUGACACGUCGGCCGUGCCCUAAGGGGUAUGAACUGGCGUAGUCAAUUUCUCACCUUCUGGAGAACCGCGAUGCCCUUAAUUGGGUGUCGCGGGGAACCAGGACCUUUACUUUGAAAAAAUUAGAGUGUUUAAAGCAGGCAUUUUGCUUGAAUACAUUAGCAUGGAAUAAUAAAAUAGGACGGCAUGAUUCUAUUUUGUUGGUUUCUAGGAUCACCGUAAUGAUUAAUAGGGAUAGUUGGGGGCAUUAGUAUUCAAUUGUCAGAGGUGAAAUUCUUGGAUUUAUUGAAGACUAACUACUGCGAAAGCAUUUGCCAAGGAUGUUUUCAUUAAUCAAGAACGAAAGUUAGGGGAUCGAAGACGAUCAGAUACCGUCGUAGUCUUAACCAUAAACUAUGCCGACUAGGAAUCAGACGA
rnacentral:rRNA from 1 species